CAACGUGUGCACGGGUGCUCCUAGGGCUCGAGGCCGUUACGGCCGGGCCCCCGGGGCUGAGAUGCGGCAGGCUAGCCGUGAACCGUCGAACCUGAUCCGGGUAAUACCGGCGAAAGGGAGACUAUGAUGAAUAGCA
rnacentral:ncRNA from 1 species